rnacentral:rRNA from 1 species
AUAUAAUUAAGCGGAGGAAUAGAAACCAACUGGGAUUCCCUUAUUAGCGGCGAGCGAAGCGGGACCAGUCCUGAUGUGAAUUGUCGUUUGACAAGUUGUGCAUCAUGAGUAAUCAGGGGAUUUCGGCGAUUCAAAACAUCUUGAAAGAUGUACAGCAUAGGGUGAAAGUCCCGUUGAAACCUAGAAGUCUCAUCUGGUUACUCUGUAGGGAGUCGCGCUCUUUGAGAGUAGAGUGUAAAUCGGUGGUAACCUCCAUCGUCGACUAAAUAUUAAUCGGAGACCGAUAGCGCACAAGUA